ACUAAAUAAUAGAAAUAUUGCUUUUCAAAAUCAACAAAUUUAAACAGAUUGUUUUUGUUAUGUACACUUACAGUAAUUCAUCCGCAGUAAUAAUGCAAAAAAAAUGUAUUCUGUUUUGUGUCAAUACUACAUUUGAAAAGAGCCGAUCAUCUUUUCAUAAUGGUUUAUUCAAUUUCUACCAAGUUGAUACGAUAUAUUCAUUAAAAUAACUUUUCAAGCUUCGUGUUUAUUUCAUUAUUUACAGUUAGUGUAAGAUGGCAGUUCAAACCAUAUCAAGAUUAAUACAAGAAAGUCAAGAUGCCCUCGAGGUAAAUGACUUUACACGUGCAAAGCAGGUGGCGUUUCAAGCUGUUGCGGAUAUCAACAUCGAGAAAUGUAAGUUUUUAACAGGCGUGCAGACGAAUAUAGACGAGCAACAAUUUGGGGAUUGGUAUGGAGGAUGUUCUUUUGUUAUGCACAAGAUUGGGGAAAACUUCGAGGCAACAAGGUUUUUUUAUACAGUGUGUCCGCAACUGAUGCACAUCCCGACAGUUUUCUGCUAAUAUGAUAGCAGCAGCUGAAGAACGUUUACAAUUAAUUCAUAGAUCAUUUAAUAUCUUAUCGUUGUCCAUGAGCACUUAAAAUAUAGUUGUGUUAUUUGAGACGGGUUAUUUUCAUAUGCUUUUUCAUGUUGUCAUUUUUAACUGAUUAGGUUUUCUUGAAAAUUUAUAUCCCUUAUGUAAAAUAUUUAUAUAAGAAUAAUUUUCAUUAAAAUAAUAUUUGUCUUUAGAAUCUUGCUUUUAUAACAACAAACGAUAGUAUAUCUUUUGUAUUAUUUUUAUUUAUUGUAGCGAUUAUUUUCGACUCGACUUGGAAUAUUCACAACCAUAAAAAAGUAUUUGACGUUCUUUGGAAUUCCUUGGUUUUUUCUAGAAAAAAGUGUGAUCUUUCAAUGCAAUACGAGAAGGAACUGAGAUGGCUUCUUGCAAAGAUAGAUGACCUUGCCAAACUUGCUGAGAGCCGUGGAAAAUGUAAUGUCUGUGUGACUAUAGAUGGUGAUAUCAAUCAAAUAUUCUCCUACCUGAUGAAAUGUGGCAUAGUGGAACAUGAGCUGAUUAAACAACCAGGACGUAGGGCUUCCCUAUGGCGCUCUGCUCGAUGUUUCCUGCGAAUGGGAAUGCAUGAAGAUGCAAGGAAACUUUGCAGUACAAGUAAGUACGUAAGUUCAAUUCUUAGAGCAGUCUAUAUCUAAGUUUAUUGCUUAAAUCUAGUUUUUUCUCUAAAAAGCAGUUUUUA